AGUCGAAUAGUCUAAAAAAGACACUGAGUUGUGGUCUCAGAAAUGGGGAACCCCUUUGACUC
rnacentral:tRNA from 1 species